rnacentral:misc_RNA from 1 species
GUGAAUCAUCGAAUCUUUGAACGCAAAUUGCACUCUCUGGUAUUCCGAAGAGUAUGCCUGUUUGAGGGUCAGUUUAAAUAAAAAUCUUUUUGUUUGCGGCCUUUGGUGGUGACUCACCGGAUUUUGGUCGUAUUACCUUCGGUUAAGUGACCUAAAAUUUUGCAUGAUUGUUUUCUAACGUAUUUAAAUGAUGUUACGUACGUUUGCGAUAUCGAAUAUUAGUUUUGGACUUCC